AAUCAUGGCUCAGGAUGAACGCUGGCGGCGUGCUUAACACAUGCAAGUCGAACGAAGCACUUUAUUUGAUUUCCUUCGGGACUGAUUAUUUUGUGACUGAGUGGCGGACGGGUGAGUAACGCGUGGGUAACCUGCCUUGUACAGGGGGAUAACAGUUGGAAACGGCUGCUAAUACCGCAUAAGCGCACAGCAUCGCAUGAUGCAGUGUGAAAAACUCCGGUGGUAUAAGAUGGACCCGCG
rnacentral:rRNA from 1 species